CCUGGUUGCUGUCAUCAAAGCAAGCAAGAACAAUAAUUUGGUUUGAUCAAAUACACUUCUAUUUAUUUUGAGUUUAAAAGCAUGUUAAAUGCAGGUACUGCAGCAUUAAUGUGCUCAUGAAGAACCGGAGCUCCUCCCUCCAUGAACAGCAGAUGGACCUCAAGAAGCAGCAUGAAGCUUCUCUCUGUGGGGAACAGCUUCCUGCUCUGAUGCUGGCGUCGCCUCUCUUCUCUUGAGAUGGUGAGUUCAGGGCUGCUCGGAGACUUCGGACGUCCUGGUAUGAGGUUCUGCGCCGACGAGGUCCGUGUCGGGACUCUGCGGUGCUCUCCGCGCUGUGGUGGGCCCUGCUCACCCGUGCUGCUGCUGGGCUGUUGUCCUCCCCCCCUGGUGGCGAAGAGGGUCACUGCAGCCGCCGGCCGGUCCAGCUCCGUGGAUGCGCGCGGCCUGGUGUGUGCGUGCGCAUCAUGGGCUCUCCGAGGUAGGAGAAGGGGGGCUGAUGGAGGUGCACGCGCACCCGGCUUUCUCCGCGGUCGAGGGAGGGGGGCUGCUGUGUCCCCCCCGCGCUCACCUGCAGGGCGGCCUGGCCUCCGGGCAUGAAGACGCGCCGUGCACACCAGCGCCAUCUUUAGCGCUGGCUCCUCAGGAACAACAAUGUUGCUCACGCUGGUGAGACCUUUCUCCGGUUGUAGACGGUCUUUAAAACACGUACCGGAUGCUGCAGUUGUUGUAAUCGGCUCCAAUCUUCCGUGAUGGCUUCCUAAAUUUGCCUUUUGAACUAUUUUUCUAAUAAAGAGCUUACUAUAAAGUC